rnacentral:rRNA from 1 species
CACGUAGGGCGCAAGCGUUGUCCGGAAUUAUUGGGCGUAAAGAGCUCGUAGGCGGUCUGUUGCGUCCGCCGUGAAAACUCGGGGCUUAACCCCGAGCCUGCAGUGGAUACGGGCAGACUAGAGGUAGGUAGGGGAGAAUGGAAUUCCCGGUGUAGCGGUGAAAUGCGCAGAUAUCGGGGGGAACACCGGUGGCGAAGGCGGUUCUCUGGACAGUUCCUGACGCUGAGGCACGAAGGUCAGGGGAGCAAACGGG